UGUUUGAGAGAGAAAAGAGUAGCUCUAUGGCUAACACCGCAGGUACUAGAGGAGGGAUCCAAAGGGAUCGCAUUGAUCCUUUAUAUUUAUUUUUAAAAAGAUUUUACCCUAAUUUUGGAUCAUGCUAUCCCUUUGGAUUCCUCCUUUGGUUGCUUCAAAUAUAUAUAUGAAAAAUGAUUCUCUCUUUCCUUCACCGCAAAAAAUCAUCGGAAAAUAUCCAGCCGGCUGCCGCCGAUGACCUUAACAUCCUCCAAAUCAAAUAACAUGACAUCUACUCAAAAUUAUGAAACCAAUGAGGUAAGACUUUUCCGAAAGGGAAGAUUCCACUAUCACCCUUACUUGUGCAUGGUGAGAAACCUAAAAAAUUUGAUGGAACAAACUUUAAGUGGUGGCAACUGUGAAGUGUGUCUAGCAUUUUCGGACACUUCUAGGCCCUUAUCAUAGUUCGUAUUGCGACAUGAAGACUUCAGUAUCGCGACAUCUCCAACAGACGACAACGUCACAACAAGAAGCAUACAACGUUGCGAUGACGCCAGGAAUUCUAACUUAAAGCAGUUACGUAAUUAGACUUUCAGUAGGGUUACUUUUCCCAGUUAAACUAUGAUUAUACAAUACAUAUUUUAGUAUAAUUAGAACUCUAAUCUUAGCCUAUGAAAAGGGCCUUAGUAACUUUAGAAUAGACAUCUUCAUACGAUCUUCAUAACAUCAAAUUUUGAGAGAAGAUCAAGAGAGUUUCGAGAGAGCUUUAAGGGAAUUUUGUGUUUUAGCUAGAAAGUUUUGUUUUUCAGGGUUUAGGGUUUGUUUUGAAUUUCUCCGUCUUGUACUCUUCGUUUUUUUGCUCAUUAAUGAAGUCUCCUUUGCCUGUAGUUUUUUAUCC